rnacentral:rRNA from 1 species
CCUACGGGUAGCAGCAGUCGAGAAUUUUUCUCAAUGGGGGAAACCCUGAAGGAGCGACGCCGCGUGGAGGAUGAAGGGCUUCGGCUCGUAAACUCCUGUCACCACAGAACUGGUAUGUGGAGAGGAAGGGACGGCUAACUCUGUGCCAGCAGCCGCGGUAAUACAGAGGUCCCAAGCGUUGUUCGGAUUCACUGGGCGUAAAGGGUGCGUAGGAGGUCAUGUAAGUCGGAUGUGAAAUCCCGUCGCUUAACGAUGGAACUGCAUUCGAUACUGUGUGACUAGAGGGCUGGAGAGGAGAACGGAAUUCCUGGUGUAGCGGUGAAAUGCGUAGAUAUCAGGAGGAACACCGAUGGCGAAGGCAGUUCUCUGGAAAGUCCUGACUCUGAUGCACGAAGGCCAGGGGAGCAAACGGGAUUAGAUACCCCUGUAGUC